CUACGGGUUGCUGCAGUGGGGAAUCUUAGACAAUGGGGGAAACCCUGAUCUAGCCAUGCCGCGUGAGUGACGAAGGCCUUAGGGUCGUAAAGCUCUUUCGCUGGGGAAGAUAAUGACUGUACCCAGUAAAGAAACCCCGGCUAACUCCGUGCCAGCAGCCGCGGUAAUACGGAGGGGGUUAGCGUUGUUCGGAAUUACUGGGCGUAAAGCGCGCGUAGGCGGACUGGAAAGUUGGGGGUGAAAUCCCGGGGCUCAACCCCGGAACGGCCUCCAAAACUAUCAGUCUAGAGUUCGAGAGAGGUGAGUGGAAUUCCGAGUGUAGAGGUGAAAUUCGUAGAUAUUCGGAGGAACACCAGUGGCGAAGGCGGCUCACUGGCUCGAUACUGACGCUGAGGUGCGAAAGCGUGGGGAGCAAACAGGAUUAGAUACCCUAGUAGUC
rnacentral:rRNA from 1 species